rnacentral:rRNA from 1 species
GAUGAACGCUGGCUACAGGCUUAACACAUGCAAGUCGAGGGGAAACGCCGGGGAAGCUUGCUUCCCCGGGCGUCGACCGGCGCACGGGUGAGUAACGCGUAUCCAACCUGCCUCUGACUGAGGGAUAACCCGUCGAAAGUCGGCCUAAUACCUCAUGGCAUCGUCUGCGGGCAUCCAACGACGAUUAAAGAUUUCAUCGGUCAGGGAUGGGGAUGCGUCUGAUUAGCUUGUUGGCGGGGUAACGGCCCACCAAGGCUACGAUCAGUAGGGGUUCUGAGAGGAAGGUCCCCCACAUUGGAACUGAGACACGGUCCAAACUCCUACGGGAGGCAGCAGUGAGGAAUAUUGGGCAAUGGGCGGGAGCCUGAACCAGCCAAGUAGCGUGCAGGAUGACGGCCCUAUGGGUUGUAAACUGCUUUUAUGCGGGGAUAAAGUGAGGGACGUGUCCUUCAUUGCAGGUACCGCAUGAAUAAGGACCGGCUAAUUCCGUG